CCAAAUUGAUUCAUGGCUGAAAGUAUGGCCGUAAAGCUAUCGCAUUUGGAUGGAGCCCGCGGCGUAUUAGCUAGUUGGUGAGGUAACGGCUCACCAAGGCGAUGAAAUACGUAGCCCGAACUGAGAGGUUGAUCGGCCACAUUGGGACUGAGACACGGCCCAAACUCCUACCCGGGAGGCAGCAGUAGGGAAUCUUCCACAAUGGACGCAAGUCUGAUGGAGCAACGGGGCGUGAGUGAUAGAAGGCUUUCCCGUCGUAAAACUCUGUUGUUGGAGAAGAAUUUGGUCGGCAGGAGUAACUGUUUGUCGGCGUGACG
rnacentral:rRNA from 2 species